CUGGUCUCCUGGGUACCAAGCCUCUCCGGAAAUACCCUGGCUGGGCGGGUAGCCGCUGCUCCCAAAGGACGCAGGCCCUGACAGGGCUGCGGGAGCUGAGCCGCGGGGCGGGCCAGGCCGAGGACAGGGGCGGGCGCCCCGGCUGUCGCUUGUCGCAGAGUUGCUCGUGGGAGGGAGGAGGUUGCUAUGCAAAUGCUCUGGCCUCCGUGGCACUGACUGUCCCUCGGCUGGCAUGUACCAGUGCCUUGUUCUACGGUGAUGUCUCACGGGGCAUGUCCUGUCAUCUGGUGUCCAGCAGAGUUGAGCAUCUCAGAGCAUGUAACCUCCGCAAACCAGCUUUCUCACAGCCUUCCGGGGAGGCGGGGAUGGACGAGAAUCAAAUGUUUGUUGUCGUAAGAUUUUUGCUUUUAACUGAGUGCAUAUGUGUGUGUCUGGGUGCCGGUAUGCACAUGUGAGUUCGAGCGCCCACAGAGGGCAUCAGGCCUCCUGGCGCUGGAGUGACAGGUGGUUAUGAAUGCUCAUGUGGUGGCUGAGAACUGAAUUCUGGUCCUCUGCAGACCAUAAGGACUCUUCACUAUAGAACUGUUUCUCAGGCAUGAACAUCCUGUUCUUCAUGUUCAUGUGUUGAUGACUUUUACCACAAUGAAAUAUUAAGCUUUCCUAAGCUUUGUCCCUUCAGCUGGCAACAUCCUGUGGUGUGUGCCCGGAACCAUGUGGAUUGCUACGGCCAGAACAGGGGAAGGCCACGUUCCUUUGCCCCUUUAUAAUGUAGUCAUCUUGAUGCUUUGCAACAUCAGCGAGUGCUGAAAUGUAGAUACUGAUACAGGACCUAUGAUAGCCACAAGCGCAAGAAGAACACUUGACUGGGGUAGCAAACGCUGUCUCAAGGGAAAGCUCUUUUUCCCAAGUGCUAGGAUUACAGGGAGCCAUCAUACCUAGUUUAGACAUAUUUAAACAUAACCAGUGAGAACUCUAGCCCGUCUAAGACAUCUGUUUGUUCCACGGUGGGUAGUUCUGGCAUCGGAAAUGCCAGCUGACCAAACCAACUAGUGCAGAGUGGGCUUUUCUCCCUAGGUGGAGAAGAACUGGGGGGACAGGGCAGGGUGUGCUGAAGCCUAUCUGUGAUACCAGUGCUAGGGAGGUAGAAGCAAGAGGAGCCUGGGUUCAAAGCCAUCCUCGCUACAUAGGAAGUCUGGGAUCAUUCUUAGCUGCACAUGACCGACCCUGGGACCCUGCUCUCAGCAGCUGAGGGGCCUAGGACAGGCCAUUCAGUAUCUCUGGCCUUUGUUUUUCCACUGGGAACUAAGUCAAAGGAGACAGAAGGGCGGAGCAGCGAGCCUGCCAGCACUGACAUCUAUUUAAGUCUACAGCGUCUUAUCUAUGACUCCAAAUGCCUAGAAGGACUGAAGACAAAAUAUAUUUAGCACAGAGACCUGAGCUGAGCUGACAAAGGACCGGCUGUUUUCAUUCCCUCACGUGAAAGUCUAAAGACUUCUCUUCAGCGACAUCACAGUUUGAUUACAGUGUGCAGACCAUACCCCGUGGGGCUGUUAUGGUCUUGCUCUGGGUUGCUUUUCUGAACUCCAAAAGACUGAAUGAUAAGCCAGGUGUGGGGCUAACCUGUAAUUCCAGUACUUGGGAGAUGAAGGCAGGAGAAUGAGGAGUUUAAGGCUAGCCUAGGACAUAUAAGUUGUGGGAAGCCAGCCUGAGCUACAUGAGAACAGUUUUGUUUUGUUUUGUUUUGUUUUUUAAUAAAUAAAAAUGGGCCUGGAGAGAUGGUUUAGUU
rnacentral:lncRNA from 1 species